UUCCUGGCAGAUUAAAACUGUGUGCCGGACCGAGACUCGAACUUGGGUCCCGCGUUCCAGUCUCAGUCCGGCACACAGUUUUAAUCUGCCAGGGAGAUUGAAAAACCUUUUUUAUUUUUGUAUCGUUUCUUUUUCUUUAAAGUA